UAUACCAGGGGACAAUCCGAUAAAAUUGGAACGAUACGGAAAAGAUUAGCAUGAUCCCUGUGCAAGGAUCACACGCACUAUACAAGUGUACAUAGUUAUU
rfam:Solanum lycopersicum cultivar Heinz 1706 chromosome 10, whole genome shotgun sequence.